ensembl:miRNA
GCCCAUUUGCCUUGGCUUGGGGUGGCAGUCCUGUGGGAAUGAGACAUGCCAGACUGGACUUGCCAGCCCCGUUCCAGGGCACAGCAU